GUUCGUAGUGAACUGCGGAGGAUCAUUA
rnacentral:rRNA from 1 species